UGCCAGCCGCCGCGGUAAUACGAAAGGGGCUAGCGUUGUUCGGAAUUACUGGGCGUAAAGCGCGCGUAGGCGGCUUUGUAAGUCGGAUGUGAAAGCCCUGGGCUUAACCUGGGAAUGGCAUUCGAUACUGCAGAGCUAGAGUAUGGUAGAGGGAAGUGGAAUUUCCGGUGUAGCGGUGAAAUGCGUAGAUAUCAGGAGGAACACCGAUGGCGAAGGCAUCUCUCUGGGCCGAUAUUGACGCUGAGGCGCGAAGGCGUGGGUAGCGAACGGGAUUAGAUA
rnacentral:rRNA from 1 species